CGUUUCGGGUCGUAAAACCCUGUCGGAGGAGAAGAAAAACGAUAUGGCUAAUAUCCAUAUCGCUUGACGGUACCCUCAAAGGAAGCACCGGCUAACUACGUGC
rnacentral:rRNA from 1 species